rnacentral:rRNA from 1 species
AUUGGACAAUGGGCGAAAGCCUGAUCCAGCCAUGCCGCGUGUGUGAAGAAGGUCUUCGGAUUGUAAAGCACUUUAAGUUGGGAGGAAGGGCAGUAAGUUAAUACCUUUCUGUUUUGACGUUACCGACAGAAUAAGCACCGGCUAACUUCGUGCCAGCAGCCGCGGUAAUACGAAGGGUGCAAGCGUUAAUCGGAAUUACUGGGCGUAAAGCGGGCGUAGGUGUUUGGUAAAGUUGGAGUGGAAAGACCCGGGCUCAACUGGGGAACUGCUUUAAAAACUGGCAGGCUAGGGAAGGGAGGAGGGGGGGGGAAUUCCCGGUUAGGGGGUAAAUGGCUUAGUAAUGGGAAGAAACACCAGUGCGGAAGGCAACCACCGGGGCUAAUACUGAAACGGGGUUGCGAAGGCGUGGGAGCAAAC